rnacentral:rRNA from 1 species
GGUUCGGAAUAACCCGGGGAAACUCGGGCUAAAACCGGAUACGUCCGUAAGGAGAAAGAUUUAUCGCCGAAGGAUCGGCCCGCGUCGGAUUAGCUAGUUGGUGAGGUAACGGCUCACCAAGGCGAUGAUCCGUAGCUGGUCUGAGAGGACGAUCAGCCACACUGGGACUGAGACACGGCCCAGACUCCUACGGGAGGCAGCAGUGGGGAAUAUUGGACAAUGGGCGCAAGCCUGAUCCAGCCAUGCCGCGUGAGUGAUGAAGGCCUUAGGGUUGUAAAGCUCUUUCGGCGGGGACGAUAAUGACGGUACCCGCAUAAGAAGCCCCGGCUAACUUCGUGCCAGCAGCCGCGGUAAUACGAAGGGGGCUAGCGUUGCUCGGAAUCACUGGGCGUAAAGCGCACGUAGGUGGGU